AGGGAAAAGCUCAAAUUUAAAAUCUGGUAGUCUCUGGCUGCCCGAGUUGUAAUCUAGAGAAGCAUUAUCCGCGCCGGACCAUGUACAAGUUUUCCUGGAAUGGAGCGUCAUAGAGGGUGAGAAUCCCGUCUUUGACAUGGACUACCGGGGCUUUGUGAUGUGCUCUCCAAGAGUCGAGUUGUUUGGGAAUGCAGCUCUAAAUGGGUGGUAAAUUCCAUCUAAAGCUAAAUAUUGGCGAGAGACCGAUAGCGAACAAGUACCGUGAGGGAAAGAUGAAAAGAACUUUGGAAAGAGAGUUAAACAGUACGUGAAAUUGUUGAAAGGGAAACGCUUGAAGUCAGUCGCGUCUACCAGGAAUCAACCUUGCAUUUUUGCUAGGUGUACUUUCUGGUUGACGGGUCAGCAUCAAUUUUGACUGGUGGAAAAAGAUCAGAGGAAUGUGGCACCUCCGGGUGUGUUAUAGCCUUUGUUCGUAUACACUGAUCGAGAUUGAGGAACUCAGCAUGCCGUAAGGCCGGGGCUGUGACCACGUUCAUGCUUAGGAUGCUGGCAUAAUGGCUUUAAUCGACCCGUCUUGAAACACGGACCAAGGAGUCUAACAUGCCCGCGAGUGUUUGGGUGGAAAACCCAGACGCGUAAUGAAAGUGAAGGUUGAGAUCCCUAUGGGAGCAUCGACGCCCGGACCAGAACUUCUGUGACGGAUCCGCGGUAGAGCGUGUAUG
rnacentral:rRNA from 1 species